AAUAGCUCAUGUAACCUCUGUGUGUUCAUACCUUGAAUUUCCAUGGACUUCCACCUCGUCUGAAUGUCUGUUUCCAUUUCCUGUUUGUGCUAUGACCUGUGUUCCCAUCCAGCACUGGUGUCCCAACACCUUAAGUGUCAUAGAGCUGAAUUCAGGCGCCUGCUCUGAAAUGAAGCUGGAGGGUGAUGCUGCUGAAGGCUCAGGUGACCACACACCGGAGUUUCAACAGGGCCUCAUUGAUGCCACAAACAUCCUUAAAUGGAAGCUCUUGAAGACAAAAUUACUGUUGAGCAGGUGCCAAAUAGGAUGCAGAUUCCCUGAACUGGGACAAAGAGGUUUGUCCUGUAUAACAGCUCCUGUAAUCUCUGAGUGUUCGUACCUUGAAUUUCCAUGGGCUGCCACCUUGUCUGGACGUCCGUCUCCAUCUCUUGUUUGUACUGUGAACUGUGUUCCUACCCAGCGCUGGUGUCCCAACAUUUUAAAUGUCAUAAAGCUGAAUUUGAAUGCUUUCUUUGGAAUGAAACAACCUCCCAAGAUAGAAGGUGAUGUUCCGGAAGACUCAGUUGACCACGCAUGUGGGAUUAACCAUGGCUUCAUUGAUGCCCCAAAUGUCCUGAAGCAGAAGGUUAUCAAAAGAAUACUAUUGCUCAGCAAGCGCAGAAUAGAGUGCAGAUUCCCUGGAUCAACAUACAGAGGUGUGUUCUGUCCAACAAGUGAUGUAAUCCCUAUCUAUCCUUACCUUGGAUUUCUGAGGCCUGCUACCCUGUCUGGUCCUCCAUCUACAUCUCCUGUUUGCAUUCUGAAUGCUGCUCCUCCCCAGUGCUGUCGUCCUCAUACUUUAAGUGUUACAGGUAAGCCCAACCCAUGUUAUUUCCAUGUUAUGGAGAGCAUUAUUUGAGGUCCUUAGUACAUACAGUUUCCCAUAAUCCCAUACUUUCUUGGGUUUUCAUCUGUCUUCCCAGUUCCACUACCUCUUUCUUCUGGGUCCAUGGCCUUUCA
rnacentral:lncRNA from 1 species